UACGUAGGGUGCGAGCGUUAAUCGGAAUUACUGGGCGUAAAGCGUGCGCAGGCGGUUUGUUAAGACAGAUGUGAAAAUCCCCGGGCUUAACCUGGGAACUGCAUUUGUGACUGGCAAGCUAGAGUAUGGCAGAGGGGGGUAGAAUUCCACGUGUAGCAGUGAAAUGCGUAGAGAUGUGGAGGAAUACCCGAUGGCGAAGGCAGCCCCCUGGGCCCAAUACUGACGCUCAUGCA
rnacentral:rRNA from 1 species